rnacentral:lncRNA from 1 species
UAGGUUGAACCACUGGCAGUAACCGUUUCCCAGCUGAUCACAUUUUGCCUGUAUUGCCUGAGACCAGGCUUCAGUAAUGCCUUAAAACCUUGCUACUCAAAGGGUGGUCCCCAGACCACCAGCAUCAGCAUCACCAGGGAGCUCGCGAGAAAUGCAGUCAGGCCCCACCACAAAUCUGCUGAACCAAAACCUGCCUGUCAACAGGAUCCCCAGCCAGUUUUCCUCCCUGACUGCCUUUCUGGCAGACCUACAGCCACUGCAGACUCGACAGUAGAUGCAGAAGCAACAACCCACGUAAAACGCUCCACCAGCUCCCACAACUGUGCCACUUGUAAUUCACCACUUAGAGACAACCACGGCAACGUCAUGGGAGAUUAGCCCUGAGCUAACAUCCGCUGCCAAUCCUCCUCUUCUUGCUGAGGAAGAUUGGCCCUGAGCUAACAUUUGUGCCCAUCUUCCUCUAUUUUCUAUGUGGGACGCCUGCCACAGCAUGGCUUGAUGAGCGAUGUGCAGGUCUGUGCCUGGGAUGCAAACCAGUGAACCCCGGGCUGCUGAAGCGGAGUGCACGAACUUUGCUAUACCACUGGGCUGGCCCCAAGGAUGACUUUCUAAUAGGCUGUUCUGCAUGUUGCUCGACCUUCCUGCCUGAUGCUCCACUGUCACCAUCAGCUGAACACCGCAGGGGUGCGGCUGCCUGAGAACGACCUGAAGAAACUACUCUCCUCUGGCCAGUGUAAGACCCAUUUGCCUGUCAACCAGGGACUGCUCCCCACCAUUAGAAAUGUACUUUUGACCUUGCUAAUUCUAGAAAAUAGUCAAGGUAUUAGUAACUGAACUGAGCAAAUCCAUUUUUAAAAGAGAACUCAUAAUUAAUCUUAUCCCUACAUUUGGCAGAAGGGUGAAGUUAAGUGUGUAUUAACUGGCAGAAUCCUAAAAUCUUGUAGGCUCUUAACAUAUGAUUUGAUUACCAACUGCUUAGGUGGUUUGGUUGAUAUCAUGGAAGAUACCACAGGAGGUUUCUGUUGUCACUAUUCCAAUGGUUGUCCCAGCUAACAAAGAUAAGAUUAAAACUACUACUAUCUUCUUCUGCCUCUUUUGAGUACCUCUCUAACUUUGUUAAAUAGAGGCUGAUUUCUGAAGCAACAGAGAAUAAAUUCUGUCACGUUAGCUUAUUUGAAAGCCACUGCUCGCGUCGUCCUCUCCCCCGUCUCCUUUACAGGCCGACCCUGGCCGGUUCUGCCGGGUGUUCCUCACAUGAAGUGAUUGCCGUGCUCUUUAACAUCCUGCCGGGCUUCCUGGGAAGUCCAUUUUGUUAAAGUCCAUCGUGUAAUGUGGCUCUCAAAACUAUUAUGGGCUUGCCGAUGUCCAGUAAAGUGGAAGUAUCUGCAGUAGCUUCUGAGGGCAGCUUUGUUACUGUCUGGUUCAUGUUGAGUUUUCAAUCAACUAAAACCCUAAGUAUGCUUCAGGUUGGUUGCUGUUAAGCCAGUUUUCCACAAUAACGUACUUUUGGAAUUGAUA